rnacentral:rRNA from 1 species
UACGUAGGGUGCGAGCGUUAAUCGGAAUUACUGGGUGUAAAGGGUGCGCAGGCGGCGUCGCAAGUCAGGCGUGAAAUCCCCGGGCUUAACCUGGGAACUGCACUUGAAACUACGAUGCUGGAGUAUGGCAGAGGGAGGUGGAAUUCCACGUGUAGCGGUGAAAUGCGUAGAGAUGUGGAGGAACACCGAUGGCGAAGGCAGCCUCCUGGGCCAAUACUGACGCUCAUGCACGAAAGCGUGGGGAGCAAACAGG